GAUGAACGCUGGCGGCGUGCCUAAUACAUGCAAGUCGAGCGAACGGACGAGAAGCUUGCUUCUCUGAUGUUAGCGGCGGACGGGUGAGUAACACGUGGAUAACCUACCUAUAAGACUGGGAUAACUUCGGGAAACCGUAGCUAAUACCGGAUAAUAUUCUGAACCGCAUGGUUCAAAAGUGAAAGACGGUCUUGCUGGCACUUCUAGAUGGAUCCGCGCUGCAUUAGCUAGUUGGUAAGGUGACGGCUUACCAAGGCAACGAUGCAUAGCCGACCUGAGAGGGGGAUAGGCCACACUGGAAGUGAGACACGGUCCAUACUACUACGGGAGGCAGCAGUAGGGAAUCUGCCGCAAUGGGCGAAAGCCUGACGGAGCAACGCCGCGUGAGUGAUGAAGGUCUUCGGAUCGUAAAACUCUGUUAUUAGGGAAGAACAUAUGUGUAAGGAACUGUGCACAUCUUGACGGUACCUAAUCAGAAAGCCACGGCUAACUACGUG
rnacentral:rRNA from 1 species